CAGUGUGCAGUGCCAUGAAAGCUGGGAAACCAGACAUUUGCAGGCACAUGCAUUUCCCUGAGUGGUGUUACAAAGGACUCUACUUUAUCUGGACUGCAUUUAAGAGGUCUUAGAUUUCAUCUUUAUUCAUGGGAUCAACAAGUAUGGCCUCCAGUGCCAGGGUGCAGUUGUCUGUGGCUCAGCACUUGACAAAGGUGAUUUUACUGGAUGAUGAAUCUUACUGAAUGUUACAACUAACAACGCUAUUGUAUUUUCUCAGCAGCAAAACUUGUUCUUCAUCCAACUGUAACUGCUAUUUGGUCAAGCCAUAUUGCGGGGGAGGAGCCAAGAUGGCCGAAUAGGAACAGCUCCGGUCUACAGCUCCCAGCGCGAGCGACGCAGAAGACGGGUGAUUUCUGCAUUUCCAUCUGAGGAGAAAUAACUUUGUUUGGACUGAGAGCUGGAGAACGAGAAUAGGACCUGAGACAGCAUAUUGUGCUAUGGAGGAGAGCUACAGGAUCUAUCCAAGCAGCAAGAAGAUGGCCAUGCCAUGGCAAUCCUCUUCCCAUCUUCCCUAGCCACUCAGGGCUGAAGAGCAAGGUGAGGCUCAGGUGAGGGUAGGGGUGGAGAGCACAAGGGCUACUUUUCCCCAGUAGAACAAGGCAUCUGAAGCUAGACGGGAGAGCAGAACUGAUGAGACUUGACGGAAGGGUCCAGGGCCUGUAUUCAGUCAGAGUCACUGCUGGAAGAAGAGGAGGAAGGGGAGGAGGAAUGCUUGGCGUGCUUGUGGUGCUUGUAGUGCUUGUGUAUCUUUUUAGGAACUUUCUUCAUUUUCUUCUGAAUCUUCUUGUCCACUAUCACUUCUGGUCCAACCAUGUCAGAAGCCAAGGGAUUCACAGGAGGCAUUCCAGGGGCAGGAGGACCAGAAUCCAAAAAGAAAAAUUCUCCCUCAAUUCACCACAUCAAAAAAUGAUCCACACA